rnacentral:rRNA from 1 species
UACAGAGGUCCCAAGCGUUGUUCGGAUUCACUGGGCGUAAAGGGUGCGUAGGCGGUCGCAUAAGUCUGAUGUGAAAUCUCGGAGCUUAACUCCGAAACGGCAUUGGAUACUAUGCGGCUGGAGGUUGGGAAGGGGGACUGGAAUUCUCGGUGUAGCAGUGAAAUGCGUAGAUAUCGAGAGGAACACCAGUGGCGAAGGCGAGUCCCUGGACCAAUCCUGACGCUGAGGCACGAAAGCCAGGGGAG